rnacentral:rRNA from 1 species
AGAGUUUGAUCAUGGCUCAGGAUGAACGCUGGCGGCGUGCCUAACACAUGCAAGUCGAGCGAUCUUCUUCGGAAGAGAGCGGCGGACGGGUGAGUAACGCGUGGGUAACCUGCCUCAUACACAUGGAUAACAUACCGAAAGGUAUGCUAAUACAAGAUGAUAUAAGAGAUUCGCAUGGAUUUCUUAUCAAAGCUCCGGCGGUAUGAGAUGGACCCGCGUCUGAUUAGCUAGUUGGUAAGGUAACGGCUUACCAAGGCGACGAUCAGUAGCCGACCUGAGAGGGUGAUCGGCCACAUUGGAACUGAGACACGGUCCAAACUCCUACGGGAGGCAGCAGUGGGGAAUAUUGCACAAUGGGCGAAAGCCUGAUGCAGCAACGCCGCGUGAGCGAUGAAGGCCUUCGGGUCGUAAAGCUCUGUCCUCAAGGAAGAUAAUGACGGUACUUGAGGAGGAAGCCCCGGCUAACUACGUGCCAGCAGCCGCGGUAAUACGUAGGGGGCUAGCGUUAUCCGGAUUUACUGGGCGUAAAGGGUGCGUAGGUGGUUUCUUAAGUCAGGAGUGAAAGGCUACGGCUCAACCGUAGUAAGCCCUUGAAACUGGGAAACUUGAGUGCAGGAGAGGAAAGUGGAAUUCCUAGUGUAGCGGUGAAAUGCGUAGAUAUUAGGAGGAACACCAGUAGCGAAGGCGGCUUUCUGGACUGUAACUGACACUGAGGCACGAAAGCGUGGGGAGCAAACAGGAUUAGAUACCCUGGUAGUCCACGCCGUAAACGAUGAGUACUAGGUGUCGGGGGUUACCCCCCUCGGUGCCGCAGCUAACGCAUUAAGUACUCCGCCUGGGGAGUACGCUCGCAAGAGUGAAACUCAAAGGAAUUGACGG